rnacentral:rRNA from 1 species
UACGGAAGGCAGCAGUGGGGAAUAUUGCACAAUGGGCGCAAGCCUGAUGCAGCCAUGCCGCGUGUAUGAAGAGGGCCUUCGGGUUGUAAAGUACUUUCAGUCGUGAGGAAGGUGUUAAGGUUAAUAACCUUAGCAAUUGACGUUAGCGACAGAAGAAGCACCGGCUAACUCCGUGCCAGCAGCCGCGGUAAUACGGAGGGUGCGAGCGUUAAUCGGAAUUACUGGGCGUAAAGGGCACGCAGGCGGUUAAUUAAGUUGGAUGUGAAAUCCCCGGGCUUAACCUGGGAAUGGCAUUCAAGACUGGUUAGCUAGAGUCUUGUAGAGGGGGUAGAAUUCCGAUGUGUAGCGGUGAAAUGCGUAGAGAUGUGGAGGAAUACCGGUGGCGAAGGCGGCCCCUGGACAAAGGACUGACGCUCAUGUGCGAAAGCGUGGGGAGCAAAC